rnacentral:rRNA from 1 species
AGGAUAAACGCUGGCGGCGUGCCUAACACAUGCAAGUCGAACGUCUCUUCUUUCGGGAAGAGGAGUGGCGGACGGGUGAGGAACACGUGGGAACCUGCCCUUCAGUGAGGAAUACCGGCGAGAAAUCGCCGACAAGACCGCAUAGCCCUCUCUGGUGAGAGCCAGAGAAGGAAAGCCUCGCAAGAGGCGCUGGAGGAGGGGCCUGCGUCCGAUUAGCUAGUUGGUGGGGUAAGAGCCUACCAAGGCGUCGAUCGGUAGCUGGUCUGAGAGGACGAUCAGCCACACUGGGAUUGAGAACGGCCCAGACUCCUACGGGGGGCAGCAGUGAGGAAUUUUCGGCAAUGGGGGAAACCCUGACCGAGCAACGCCGCGUGCAGGAAGACAGCCUUCGGGUUGUAAACUGCUUUUCUUUGGGACGAGCAAGGACGGUACCAGAGGAAUCAGCCCCGGCUCACUACGUGCCAGCAGCCGC